rnacentral:sRNA from 1 species
AGUCUGCUCCCAUGCUGACAGCCUUCUCCUUUGACUGUGCCAAAGAAGCCUGCCCUCCGCUGAAAGAAGAGGACCAGAAGGAGAUCGGCACCAAGCUAACUCAUUACCUGCGGUGCUCACAUUGGGGUCUCCUGAAUGGGAAGAAGAGGAGGAGAUGGAUCUUAGAGCCUGUAAGGAGUUGAGGCCUUUCUCGAACCCGGAGCUGGGGCUGAGGGAUGCACUCCAGUGCCUCAACAGCAGUGACUGGCAGAUGAAGGAGAAGGGUCUGGUGAGCAUCCAGCGCUUGGCAGCCUGUCACUCGGAGGUCCUCACCGGGAGGCUGCACGACGUGUGCUUGGCGGUGACUGGGGAGGUCACCAACCUGCGGUCCAAGGUGUCUCACCUGGCCAUCAGCACCUUGGGAGACCUCUUCCAGGCCUUGAAGAAGAAUAUGGACCAGGAGGCCGAGGAGAUCGCCCGCUGCUUGCUGCAGAAGAUGGCGGACACCAACGAGUUCAUCCAGAGAGCAGCCGGCCAGUCUCUGAGGGCUAUGGUGGAGAAUGUGACCCUUGCCCGCUCCCUGGUGGUCCUCACCUCGGCGGGUGUCUACCACCGGAACCCCUUGAUCCGGAAAUAUGCGGCUGAGCACCUCUCAGCUGUGCUGGAGCAGAUCGGCGCUGAGAAGCUUCUCUCGGGCACCAGAGACAGCACAGACAUGUUGGUGCACAACCUGGUGAGGCUGGCGCAGGACUCCAACCAGGACACCAGAUUUUAUGGCCGGAAGAUGGUGAAUAUCUUGAUGGCGAACACUAAGUUUGAUGCAUUUCUGAAGCAAUCUCUCCCAUCUUACGACUUGCAGAAGGUCAUGGCGGCCAUUAAACAGCGGGGAAUAGAAGAUAAUGAUGAACUUCCCUCUGCCAAAGGCCGCAAGGUGUUGAGGAGUCUGGUGGUGUGUGAGAACGGGCUGCCCAUCAAGGAGGGGCUCAGCUGCAAUGGCCCAAGGCUGGUGGGGCUGCGCUCCACACUGCAGGGCCGCGGGGAGAUGGUGGAGCAGCUACGGGAGCUGACGCGGCUGCUGGAGGCCAAGGACUUCCGGUCCCGGAUGGAAGGCGUGGGGCAGCUCCUGGAGCUCUGCAAGGCCAAGCCGGAGCUUGUCGCUGCCCACCUGGUCCAGGUCUUUGAUGCUUUCACCCCAAGGCUUCAGGAUUCCAACAAGAAAGUGAACCAGUGGGCGCUGGAGUCCCUCUCCAAGAUGAUCCCCCUCCUCAAAGAGAGCUUACACCCCAUGCUGCUCUCCAUCAUCAUCGCUGUUGCAGACAACCUCAACUCCAAGAACUCAGGGAUUUACGCUGCUGCCAUGGCUGUGCUGGAUGCGAUGGUUGAGAGCCUGGACAACCUUUGCCUUCUACCAGCGUUUGCUGGGCGAGUGCGUUUCCUGAGUGGCCAUGCGGUGCUGGAUGUCACAGAUCGCCUGGCAGUGCUGGUGGCCUCAGUUUACCCCCGGAAGCCUCAAGCUGUAGAGCGGCAUGUCCUUCCCAUCCUCUGGCACUUCCUGAACACCGCCACCGGGAAUGGCACCCUGCCUGGACCCAGCGGGAACAUCCGCGGGGUGGUGUGCCGGCUGUCCAGGAGCCUCCAGGAGCACAUGGGCUCCCGCCUGCUGGACUUUGCCGCCAGCCAGCCAAAGCACGUCCUCAAGACGCUCCAGGAACUCUUAGACUCAGAGUCCUUGGGAGGCAGCCGCAAGGCCACUGACAGAGGGGUGGCCCCUGACAGCAAGACAACUGGCAGCUCAUACCCUUUUCAGCUGGAUUAAAGAUGGAUCUGAAAUGGGCAAUUAUUAUUUAUCUUAUUUUUUUGAUGGAAUAUUCUCCUGGUUACUUUCCCCCUUAGAGUUCCAGAUGUACAUGGUAUAUUUUGAAGUAGAAAUAAAAGAAUUACUUAUUUUUCUAA